CUCCUGGAGCCUAUGCCCAGCACCCCAUCCCAAGCUCAGCACACCCUCCCACAUGCCGAAUCCCUCAGCCCCAAGCCCCCUCCUGCACCCCAAACCCCUCAGCCCCAGCCAGAGCCUCACCCCCUCCUGGUGAAAAUGAGCGAGUGAGGAUGGGGGAGAGAUGGACGGAUGGGGGAUGGAGUGAGCAGGGGUGGGGCCUCGGAGAAGGGGCAGGACCUCAGGGCAAAACAAGGGUGUUGGGUUUUAUGUAAUUAGAAAGUUAGCAACCCUAACCAAGGUGUGUCUGUACAUCCAGCCAUCCUAGCAAGCAAGGCAGCGUAACUGUACCCCGGUGUAACUGGACAGGUGAACGCAGCUGGGGACAGGCCUGACCUCGACUCCACCGAGGUACAAACCUGCUGCGUCUAUACUGGACGUACACGGACCUGGAAACACACCCCGGGUCCAGGGAUACAAACAGGAAGGGGAGGGGCAUUCGUGCCACUCCUCCUCUAGCGCCGCCGGGGUUUGUUUCCCCUUCACAGCGGCUGAGCGGAGGGAUACCAGUACGAGGUGAGCCAAACACGAACGCAGAUCCGGUCUCGACGGCCAUUUUGUGUACACGCACAGACAAACCCCCGGGGCGGGGACUAAGGAGUGACCACGAGCCGGGCACGCAGGAAAAUCGCAGGCCCGGCAAGAGCCUUCGCUGUGUGGGCUACUCCGUAGCCCGCAAAGCGACGGACAAACCGCCUACUCAAGCGCAGGGGGAAACUGGGCCCUGCCUAAUGCGCCGGUUUCACAUUGUCUGCGAAGAGGGAAGGACGGGAUUCUGAUUGGAGAAGCGGCGCCUCUUGCCCCUCCCCAGAACAGGCACGCGUGCGGGCUUACUCUCGUGAGAGAGGCCCCACGAGCCUCCCCUCCUCUUCAUUCCCCCACCCCCGCAGCACUAGAAGGCGCGUGCGCGCAACUUGCACGCGUCUGAAGCCCCCCGACCGCCCCCCUGCCAUCAGUCUUGGUAGCGCGUGCGCGGAUUCCCAGGCGGCGGCGGCGGCUCAGCUCAGCUCAUCGUCUGUCCUCUCCGAGGCGGCGGCAGGCAGCGCUCUCCGGAGAAGGGGCCGGACCCGCCCGUCGGGAGGAGGCUGUGGGCGGCUGCGCUCCGUUCGGGCGGGCGCCCCUGGCUGUUUCCGGAGGAAGGAGAGACGCAACUAUCCCCCUCCCCCCUCAGCGCGAGCGGAGCCCGGAGUCACCGCGGCGCAGAGACAGGCCCGGCGGGCGGCGGCGGCGCACACACACACAAUGGCGCUCAAACGCAUCAACAAGGUGAGCGAGGGCCGGGCCGGGGAGACGGCGCUGCUUACCCCCCCCCCCCCGCCGACGCCGGGGCUGCGCGU
rnacentral:lncRNA from 1 species